CAAUAGCGUAUAUUAAAGUUGUUGCAGUUAGAACGCUCGUAGUCGGAUUUCGGGGCGUUCCGACCGGUCUGCCGAUGGGUAUGCGCUGGCCGGAGUGUCCUUUUUGCCGGAGACCGUGCCUACUCUUAACUGAGCGGGGGCGGGAGACGGCACUUUUACUUUGAAAAAAUCAGAGUGUUUCAAGCAGGCAGCUCGCUCUUGCAUGGAUUAGCAUGGGAUAAUGAAAUAGGACUUUGGUGCUAUUUUGUUGGUUUCGAACACCGAAGUAAUGAUGAGAAGGGACAGUCAGGGGCACUCGUAUUCCGCAGAGAGAGGUGAAAUUCUCAGACCCGCGGAAGACGAACCACUGCGAAAGCAUUUGCCAGGGAUGUUUUCACUG
rnacentral:rRNA from 1 species